AUUGAACGCUGGCGGCAUGCCUUACACAUGCAAGUCGAACGGUAACAGGUUAAGCUGACGAGUGGCGCACGGGUGAGUAAUGUAUCGGAACGUGCCCAGUCGUGUGGGAUAACUGCUCGAAAGAGCAGCUAAUACCGCAUACGACCUGAGGGAGAAAGCGGGGGAUCGCAAGACCUCGCGCGAUUGGAGCGGCCGAUAUCAGAUUAGGUAGUUGGUGAGGUAAAGGCUCACCAAGCCGACGAUCUGUAGCUGGUCUGAGAGGACGACCAGCCACACUGGGACUGAGACACGGCCCAGACUCCUACGGGAGGCAGCAGUGGGGAAUUUUGGACAAUGGGCGCAAGCCUGAUCCAGCCAUGCCGCGUGAGGGAAGAAGGCCUUCGGGUUGUAAACCGCUUUUGUCAGGGAAGAAAAGGUUCUGAAGAAUCCCUGGAACUCAUGACGGUACCUGAAGAAUAAGCACCGGCUAACUACGUG
rnacentral:rRNA from 1 species